rnacentral:rRNA from 1 species
UGGGGAAUAUUGCACAAUGGGGGAAACCCUGAUGCAGCGACGCCGCGUGGAGGAAGAAGGUCUUCGGAUUGUAAACUCCUGUUGUUGGGGACGAUAAUGACGGUACCCAACAAGGAAGUGACGGCUAACUACGUGCCAGCAGCCGCGGUAAAACGUAGGUCACAAGCGUUGUCCGGAAUUACUGGGUGUAAAGGGAGCGCAGGCGGGAAUGCAAGUUGGGAGUGAAAUCUACGGGCUCAACCCGUAAACUGCUCUCAAAACUGUAUUUCUUGAGUAGUGCAGAGGUAGGCGGAAUUCCCGGUGUAGCGGUGGAAUGCGUAGAUAUCGGGAGGAACACCAGUGGCGAAGGCGGCCUACUGGGCACCAACUGACGCUGAGGCUCGAAAGUGUGGGUAGCAAACAGGAUUAGAUACCCUAGU